CAGUAGCCGCGGGAAUACGUAGGGUGCGAGCGUUAAUCGGAAUUACUGGGCGUAAAGCGUGCGCAGGCGGUGAUGUAAGACAGAUGUGAAAUCCCCGGGCUUAACCUGGGAACUGCAUUUGUGACUGGCAAGCUAGAGUAUGGCAGAGGGGGGUGGAAUUCCGCGUGUAGCAGUGAAAUGCGUAGAUAUGCGGAGGAACACCGAUGGCGAAGGCAGCCCCCUGGGCCAAUACUGACGCUCAUGCACGAAAGCGUGGGGAGCAAACAGGAUUAGAUACCCCGGUAGUCCCUGUCUCUUAUAC
rnacentral:rRNA from 1 species